GAGGCUCAGCGCUGAGAGGAAGGGUGGGGGGUCGACAUGCCCGUUGUGGGUCUUGCCCCGGCGGCGGAGCCCGGGACGAUUAGGUGAGCGCCGACUUGCCAGCUUGCAUAGCGUGCUCCGGCUCUGCCGUUGCCUCGGACGCCGCCAUCCCGCCUCCCUGGGCCCCGCCGGCUCCGCCUUUGCUCCCUCCCGUCCCGUGGCGUCGGGCUCCGGGCGGGCGAUGCUCGGAGGGCGGCGGGAGCGGGUGUUGGCCGCGGUCCGCCCGCCGCCUCCUCGCGCGCUCCGCCGCCGGUCGGGCGUUCAGGGCAGCCGGGCUGCCAGGCCCCUCCCCCUGGCCAGAUGGAUCCCUCUGCCCCGAAGGCCCGCGCGGAAGCCGCCGGCAAAGACAUGUGGCAUCCAGGAGAACGAUGUCUCGCCCCUUCUCCAGAUAAUGAAAAACUUUGUGAAGCAAGCAUAAAAUCUGUCACAGUGGAUGAAAAUGGGAAGUCAUUUGCAGUUGUCUUAUAUUCAGAUUUUCAAGAAAGAAAAGUACCUCUUAAAAGACUUCAAGAAGUAAAAUCUGUCAAAGAUUGCCCCCGGAGUUUUAUAUUUGAUGAUGAAGAUUUGGAAAAACCGUAUUUCCCAGACCGAAAAUUUCCGUCAUCUUCUGUUGCUUUUCAAUUAUCUGAAGAUGGAGACUCUAUUCCUUAUACUAUUAAUAGGUAUUUGAGAGACUACCAAAGGGAAGGGGCCCAGUUUCUCUAUGGACACUUUAUCCAAGGAAGAGGAUGUAUUCUUGGUGAUGACAUGGGACUAGGAAAAACAGUACAGGUUAUUUCAUUUUUGGCUGCAGUUUUGCAUAAAAAAGGAACUCGUGAGGAUAUUGAAAAUAACAUGCCAGAGUUUUUACUAAGAAGUAUGAAAAAGGAACCCUCUUCUUCUACAGCAAAAAAGAUGUUCUUAAUAGUUGCUCCUCUUUCUGUCCUCUACAACUGGAAGGAUGAAUUGGACACCUGGGGAUAUUUCAGAGUCACUAUUUUACAUGGUAACAAAAAAGACAAUGAACUGAUUCGUGUAAAGCAGAGGAAAUGUGAAAUUGCUCUAACAACUUAUGAAACACUGCGAUUAUGUCUAGAUGAACUUAACAGUUUGGAAUGGUCAGCUGUCAUUGUGGAUGAAGCUCAUAGAAUCAAGAAUCCAAAGGCUAGAGUAACAGAAGUUAUGAAAGCUUUAAAAUGUAAUGUCCGCAUUGGCCUCACUGGAACCAUUCUUCAGAACAACAUGAAAGAACUGUGGUGUGUUAUGGACUGGGCCGUACCAGGACUUUUGGGCAGCAGGAUCAACUUCAAGAAGCAGUUUUCUGACCCAGUAGAACAUGGUCAGAGACACACAGCAACAAAGAGAGAACUAGCUACUGGCCGAAAGGCCAUGCGGAGGCUCGCAAAGAAGAUGUCUGGGUGGUUUCUCAGGCGCACCAAGGUUCUAAUCAAGGAUCAGCUGCCUAAGAAGGAAGACCGGAUGGUGUAUUGUUCUCUGACCGAUUUUCAGAAAGCCGUCUAUCAAACAGUGUUGGAGACAGAAGAUGUGACUUUGAUACUUCAAUCUUCUGAGCCUUGUACCUGCAGCAGCGGCCGAAAAAGGAGAAAUUGUUGUUAUAAGACCAAUUCCCAUGGGGAGACAGUGAAGACCUUGUAUUUCAGUUACCUUGCAGUCCUUCAGAAGGUCGCCAACCACGUCGCACUACUGCAGGCUGCCAGCGCUUCCAAACAGCAGGAAACACUUAUCAAAAGGAUAUGUGAUCAGGUAUUUUCCAAAUUCCCAGAUUUUGUGCAGAAAAGCAAAGAUGCAGCCUUUGAAACACUUUCUGACCCAAAAUACAGUGGAAAAAUGAAGGUCCUUCAGCAGCUUUUAAAUCAUUGCAGGAAAAACAAAGAUAAAGUCCUUCUUUUCUCCUUUUCCACCAAGCUGCUUGACGUGCUGCAGCAAUACUGUAUGGCGUCUGGGCUUGAUUACCGACGACUGGAUGGAAAUACAAAAUCAGAGGACAGAAUCAAGAUCGUGAAAGAGUUCAACAGCACACAAGAUGUUAACAUUUGCCUUGUCUCCACAAUGGCUGGUGGGCUAGGCCUCAAUUUUGUUGGUGCCAAUGUUGUUGUCUUAUUUGAUCCCACUUGGAAUCCAGCCAAUGAUCUUCAAGCCAUUGACAGAGCAUAUAGAAUUGGGCAAUGCAGGGAUGUCAAAGUGCUUAGGCUAAUCUCCUUGGGAACGGUGGAGGAGAUCAUGUACUUACGACAGGUGUACAAGCAGCAACUUCACUGUGUGGUGGUCGGAAGUGAAAAUGCCAAGCGAUAUUUUGAAGCAGUUCAAGGAUCAAAAGAGCAUCAAGGAGAGCUUUUUGGGGUCUAUAAUCUCUUCAAACUAAGGUCCCACGAGUCUUGUCUUACCAGGGACAUCCUGGAGAGAGAAGGCCAAGUGGAAGCUGGGGUUAUGACAGCCACGACUUGGUUGAAAGAGGAACCUCGAGUACACAAACCAGAGACACCUAGAGAGCCUGACUGUCAAGAACACAGAGGUCUAGAGCAACCUGCAGACCCACUGGCCAAAGAGGCAUGUGAUCUCUGCAGUGAUUUCAGUGAUGAGGAGGCAGUGGGAAACUCAAAACUAAAGACUGCUAAGAACAAACCACGGGACUCAAGUAAAUCGGGUUCUCCCGCACAACUUACCUUACUCCAAUGUGGUUUCUCUAACGUGUUUGAGACAACGUCUAAAGCAGUUGAGGAUGGUGAUGGAAAUAUUGCCUCUGAUGAUGAAAGUUCUGAUGAACAACCCACGUGCCUUUCAACAGAAGCCAAAGAUGUUGAUUGUCAUAAAAGUCGAGACUCUAUUGGUAUUUCAAGAUAUCGGAAAUUAGCCAACACCCUAAAUCCAAAUGAAAAAUGCAUUUUUGAUAAAAGUGAGAAGAUUUUAGAACAGAAGAUUUCUUCUGAGUUUGAUGAUGAGAAAAAUUUUAAAAAUACAACUGACCACCAUUGCAUUUUACAGAAUGUCACAGAAUCGGAAGAUAGUGACGUCGUCUUUCCCACACAAUAUACAACUCAGAAAGUCCCUAAGAACAGUAUAAGGUUUAAGCCACCUGUGGAUGGAUCUGAAGAUUCUGAAACAGAAAACCCUGUAAAAAUAAAAAAUAAUGGUGAUUAUAAAAAGACUGACUUCAGAGUAAAUGGACUAAUUUCAAAACAAUUAAAUCUUGAGAACCUGACCCUAAAACCUAUCAUGAAAAGAAAAGGCAGCAGUGAUAUUAGUGACGAGUCUGAUGACAUUGAAAUUUCCUCCAAGUCAAAAGUAAGAAAGCAAAGAGCUACUACUUCUUUAAGGUUUAAGAGAAAAAAAGAAAAGAAAAGAGAACUUUACACUUUUCCUAAAACAGUGAAGAAAACAAACCAACUGUAUGCAACAGACGGAGAUUGUAACUCUCAGACUGUUGAUGAUUUUUCAUCCUCAGAUGAUGAUUUAUCUGUUAGCGACAUCACUUUCUCUAAACAGAGCCAUAGACCAGAAACUAUGAAAGACAGAAUCAGUUUCUCUUCAAAAUUGCCUAGCCAUAAGAAAAAUAGCACUUUCAUACCCAGAAAACCAAUGAAAUUUUCGAAUGAGAGAGUUGUCAAUCAAGCGCAGAUGUAUGAAUCAAUGGAUAAAUUUUUAGAUGGUGUUCGGGAGGUGGCUUACAUUCACUCGAACCAGAAUGUGAUCGGAUCAAGCAGAGCUGAAAACCACAUGAGCCGAUGGGCAGCGCGUGACGUAUUUGAAUUGAAGCAGUUUUCCCAGCUUCCCGCUAACAUAGCUGUUUGCACUUCUAAGACAUCUAAAGAAAAAAUGAAGGCAGAUACAUUGACACAUACAAAGAAAAGCCAACAACCAGGUGAAGGAGGCAUUUCACUUCCCCUUUACAUUUCACACCCUGUAAGCCAGAAGAAGAAAGGAGUCUACCGUACAGACCAGACCACCUUCAUAAUUGGGGAGACGCCAAAAGGGGUCCGCAGAAAACAAUUCGAAGAAAUGGCUUGUUAUUUUAACUUGUCUUCUGUAAAGGAAUUUGCUAAACAUAUAACUAAUGCCACAUCAGAAGAACGACAGAAAAUGCUAAGAGAUUUUUAUGCUUCUCAGUAUCCAGAGGUGAAAGAAUUUUUUGCGGAUUCUGCUUCAGAAUUCAUUAAAUCUGCCUAUGAGGAGGGAGAGAGAGUCAGGAAUAAGUCUGAAAAAAGAGAAUCUCUUAUAGAAGAAAGACUGUCAGAUUCUGAAACUUCAUCAUUUCAAGAUUCUACCAAAAAUUAUUCUCAAAUUUGCAGGCCAAAAAUAUAUACAGGAAAAUCAAUUAAGUUUCAAAAUCAUGGUUCCUGUAGAGAAGAGGUGCUUUCUGAUGAUGCAGAAACUAAGAAAUCACCUAUUAGCUCCACCCAAGACCCCAACAAUGGGAAAAACAGCCACACGUCCAAAAACACCGUGCCAUCCUGCUCCCUGAACAGAAAGUCUGAAGCAUAUGAAAGUAAGUUAGAAAAUACUGUGAAAGACCAACAGGACCUCACAAGAACUGGCAUUUCCAGAAAUGGACCCCUUUUCAAAGAGGAAAACAAAAAAAUAGAAAAUUCCAUGUUAGGAAACACUUCUGUGGUAGGCUUACUCGGUGACACCUCUAUUCUUGAUGACCUCUUUAAAAGUCACGGGAACAGUCCCACACGACUGCCAAAAAAAGUUCUUUCAGGGCCCAUGGAAAAAGCAAAACAGAGACCAAAAGAUUUCUGGGACAUCUUGAAUGAGCAGAACGAUGACAGUCUUAGUAAACUCACCGACUUGGCGGUGAUAGAGACUCUUUGUGAGAAAGUGCCCCCUGCUGCAUCCUCCAAAAGGAAAGAACAGCUAGAAACUUCGCUUUGGAAAUCAAAUGAGAACUUUCUAUGGAAAAUAAUUAACUCAAAUGACACAGAUGAAAACACAACUAAUACUCAGGAGUGAUAUGUAAGCAUAGAAAUGACUUACGACAACCAGUGGCCUUCUGCCAUCACUGUUACAACACUGUAUUCCACACCAUGCUACCUUGAACACAGUUGUCAACAGACCAAUGACAAACAUUUCCCAAACUGGCCCUAGCCUGUGGACCAGACCUUGACCAGCAGCACUUCUGGGCAGUGUUUGUCCCUGGGGGCGAAGAGGACUGAUGGUCAGAGCCGACCCUUAUUCCACUCUUACUCUCUGGCACAGCACCCUCGUGAAAAAUGAGACAUCUGACCAACCUUUGGACUCUGCCUGGACCACAGACCCCACAGGCAGGUAGUAGAGGGUGGCGAUGGAGACUUGUGCCCUGGAGCCAGACUGCAGCCUGGCUUGGCCUCUUUCUGUCUCAGUGAUCUCAGGUAAGUUUUUUAAUCCCCCUGUGACUCAGUUUCCUCUUCUGUCUGAGAGGAGUGAAAAUAAUUCUUAGCUCACAUGGCUAUGGAGAGGAUUAACUUAGCUUCAGCGCAGCACUUUGCGAGCUGUUCCAGUGCUUCCCUGAGGGCCCCUUCUUGCGCAGCACAGUGUGGGCUCACAGCAGAUGCUCACCGGACAGGUCCUGUGGAACAGCAGGAGCAGUGCAGGCUCAGCUGCAGAGAACAGACUCCACUCCAGCUAGUGUGAGUUGGGCUUCAUUCAGCAAAAUGGCUUCUAGAAUAAGUGGGAGGGCUGAAAACCACCUCUAGGCAGAGCUUUCAGGGAUGGUUCCCAAAGCUCCCCUGCAGAACCAGCUGCCAGGGCACUGCUGCCUCUCUGGAAUCAGGACCAGCCACACCUGCUUCAGUCUCCAGAAAUCGUAGCUGCUCACUAUAGCCAUCCCAGUGAAACAGAAGGCCCCUGUGCCUCCUGAUGUCCACCAGCCUGCCCAGAAACUGCAGAUGCUGACCCGCCUCACUCUCAUUUUCCACACCUGUCACACUCAAACUCACGUGCAGAAGCUCAGGUGCAGGAGAGUCUGGUAAAGCUGUUUACUGGCCAGCCCCGUAGAUCACGCAAGUAAGCCAGAAGGAAGAGGGGGCAAGGGCUGAGCCCGAGGCACUGUGCUCCACAGUGGUCACAGAACAAAUGCCGAAGGACACGGAAAAGUGUAACGGGCUUCAUGCGUCCCCCUCUCUCCUGACCUUCAUUCUCCUUGGGUUCCUCUGCACCUGUUGCCAUGGAUGGAUCCCAGUUUAGUUCUAAAAGCUGUGUUCUUUUAGACUAGUGCUGUAGAGUGGUAGAAGAUUCCAGGAAUUUCUAGAAGAGAGGAAAAAUGGAAAAUAUGAGUGGAGUCAAAGCACAUAUUGCUGGACAUCUAGAAAUAUUGGAGGGUAAAAAUAUAUUUUUAAUGAUUAAAAACCCCAAAAGGUCUUCUAUUGUUCAACUAAAGUCAGUUGUCUGCAUUGCUGGGAUUCUGUAGGGUAUCAGGACAGCAGAAAAGGGCCUUAUUCUUGCUGGUUAAAAAUGAAACAACAAGAAAAUACAACCAAAUAUCAGCAGUGUUUAUUUCUCGGCAGUGGGAAUAAGGGUGAUUACUAUUUUCUCUUUUAUAAUUCUUUAUAGAUUCAUCAGUAUCUGUUAAUUUUACCUUCUAUAAAAAAGGAAUUCAUACGGUUUUUAAAGCCAAUCAACCAAAACCAAAACUCUCCCUCUCUCUCUCUCUUUUUCUUUCUUUCUAAUCUUUUAAGUCAUUUACUGAUAUUUUAAAAGUCCUCAUCAGUAGGUAAAUCUUACCUGUGGAACUAGUAGAACAUUAGAUAUUCUCAAAGUAUGAAAAGACACAACUUUUGAACUAAAUUCACCUGCUUGUCAAUGGUUGGAUUUUAUACCAUCUCUGGAGAGAAUUUGUCAUCAUCUUGACAUCAAAACCAUUGGACACGCCCACCAGACUUAGAAGAUUUUUUAAAGUUGCUUCUGGUUUAACUUGUUUCUCUAAGAAAAAUGACAACAGCAAAAACCAUGAAACAUUAUAUUAAAGAUUACAGUAAUUUUUAACCCUCAAACAUGUGAAGAGUAUUUUCCACAAGGUAAGGUAAAAACUGGUCUUUGUUUAUUUAAAAUAUAGAAUCUUUGUGUGGACUACAUGAAGUUCUUCUCAUUUAGGAUCUCAUUAGCCUCAUAAGCCCCAUGAGGAAGGUGUUAUGCUCUGUAUUUUAUUGAUGAUGCAGAAACAGGCUCAGAGAGGUUGAAUGACUUGUCAAAGACCACACAGCCCUCUUAUCCCAUCCAUGGAACCUCACCAGACUCAGAUAAGCAUAUGUGUAUACACGUCCCCCUUGGCCCACCUGUCAGCGAUGGAGGGUGACACAUGUCACAGGAGCCUACCUCUUGUGGCUACCUUGUGGUUGCUGACAGCCUGGGCCCCACGCCUCAGCCCAACAUGUGUCCUGAUCAGGGAGCCGAUCGGAACGGGAUCAGAAGCACCUGUCAUUGGCACCCUCAUAUUUCCAUAACGUGGAGGACCCCAGGCCUGCAGCAGCACCCCGAGCUGCCAGCCUCUGGCACGUGCCUGUGAUGCUCUGGGGAGUGCGUCUGUGGGACUACUUAGCCCAAAGUAUCGUUUCCCACAAGUUGGAACUUCAUGGACCAGGAAAACUGCAGUUUUCCAACUUUUCCUUUUUUUCUCGAAAGGACAUUUCAUACUUGAUACAUUUCAUAUUUAACAGCCCAUCCCCCCAAAGUGAGAAGGCAUACAUUCAGAGGCAUAUCAUUUUAAAAUUAUAAUUUUAAAAACUGUCUUCAUGGGAAAAGCGGCACACUGUCAUUUUUGUCAUUCUGCCGUGGACCAGUGUGGUAGGUAUGAGGGCCACUUCCUACUCCCCGGAACCUGUGAGUAUGCUCCCUGACGUGGCAAAAGGGAGCUGAGGCAGCCGGUGGAAUUAAGGCUGCUCACGAGCAGACUGUCAGAUGGGGAGAUUAUCGUCGGUCAUCCAGAUGGGCCCAGUGGAAUCAUGAGUCCAGCGUGAUCAUCAGUGGAAGGAGGAGGCAGGAGAGGACGUUGGGGUGGCGUGAUGUGAGCAGCACUCCACCACUGUCGCAGCUGUGAAGACAGAGGGAGAAAGAGGGCAGCCCCUAGAAGCUGGGAAAGGGAGUGGACUCUCCACAGAGCCUCCAGAAAGGAGCACAGCCCCGCCAACACCUCGCCUUAGCCCAGGAAGACCUCGGACCUACACAACUGCAAGAUAAUACACUUGUGUUGUUUCUAGCCACUAAGUUUGUGGUAAUUUGUUACCGUGGCAAUAGAACUGGUACAACCAGGGAAACUUCAUCCUGACCUUACUGAGGUCUGGGCCCCCAGCUUUCGGAACUCAUCCUAAGAAGAGCCCGUCAGAAUUUCCUAUUCUGCAGAAGGACAUUUUAUGUGACUAAGAUGAUGUAUACAAGGCACUCCACCCAGUGCCUGUCACGUAAAGCCAUUCAGGAGCUGGUAACACCCAGGCCCCAUCUACACCCUCUUUCUGAGGUCACAGCCUCAAACAUCUGAGGGCCAGACAGAUGACAUCCAUAGCAGAGGCAGGUGGGGACAGAUGAAUUGAAGGGCACCUGCAAGUCUAGAGGUGGCAGCUUCCCCCAGUCAUGGCCACAAAGGGGCUGCCCGCAGUUGACAGGUCUCCCAUGUUUAAGCUAUUGGCAACUAAGUCAAUUUAAAUACAUACACACACCCUCCUGCCCUGUGUCGGCCGAAGGAAACAGCGCUGUGUCUGGGGGCGAGGGCAUGCCCGCAGGCUGCCAGGAUGCAACUUCAGUUCUCUAUCUAAGGCUAUGACUGAGGGGUCCUACCAAGGCCCCAGAGAGAAGUGAAGACCACGGGGCAGGAGGAAGUAGCACUGUGUCUGGCCCUCCAUCAAGGCAUCCUCCCUGCAUGGCACACCGAGAAACCCUUUGCAGCAUGGACCCACCUGUCCUGCAUUCCUUAUGUUUUCCAAAGCCCAGGCAGGCCCAUGUCCCUUUGUCACCAGCGUAUCAAGACCAAGAUGUAAGAAGACGAGAAGGUAGAUGAAGGGAUCCACUCACCCAUCUAACGUUAUCGCGCCCCUGCUGCACUUCCUGAACCACAACAGACCUUGCCAGAAGGGCAGGAAGCAGCCUCGGCGGGCCCAGGUGAAGGGGAGCAGGGUGGUGGAGCAGCACCCACCUGGAGGGUCGGGGAAACGCCAGCACGAGCCCGAGGGUAGACAGGUUGCCUGCAAGUAUCACUAGGAACACAGUAGGUGGUUGAUAAAUGAUGCUGUCACUAUUAAUAAUAGCAUUACUUUCUUUCUGUCA